rnacentral:rRNA from 1 species
UACGAAGGGGGGCUAGCGUUGUUCGGAUUUACUGGGCGUAAAGCGCACGUAGGCGGAUCGAUCAGUCAGGGGUGAAAUCCCAGAGCUCAACUCUGGAACUGCCUUUGAUACUGGCAAUCUUGAGUCCGGAAGAGGUGAGUGGAACUCCUAGUGUAGAGGUGGAAUUCGUAGAUAUUAGGAAGAACACCAGUGGCGAAGGCGGCUCACUGGUCCGGUACUGACGCUGAGGUGCGAAAGCGUGGGGAGCAAACAGG